UACGUAGGGGGCGAGCGUUGUCCGGAAUUAUUGGGCGUAAAGGGCGCGUAGGCGGCUUCGCAAGUGGAAGGGGAAAUCCCUCGGCUUAACCGAGGAACUGCCCUCCAAACUGCGUUGCUUGAGGCCGGGAGAGGUGAGUGGAAUUCCCAGUGUAGCGGUGAAAUGCGUAGAUAUUGGGAGGAACACCAGUGGCGAAGGCGGCUCACUGGACCGGUUCUGACGCUGAGGCGCGAAAGCCAGGGGAGCAAACGGG
rnacentral:rRNA from 1 species